UGAUUUGUAGAAAAGUUGUGUGAUAUAGGCGGCAAAGAAGCAUGCAACGUGGAAGUGGGUGAACACAUAAUGAACCAAAAUCAGACUAGAAAGUGGUACCGCAUGGGUCUCAUCGACCAAUACACAAAAUGUCCAUGUCUUUGCCUCUUCGCUUCCAUUCCUCGUCUUUCUCUCUCUCUUCUCUUGGGGCUGUGAGGAAAGUGCUAGGGAGUUUUAUAACAGAUAUUGUUCGACCAACUAAUGGAAAUUGGCACUUGGGAAGAAGAGGUGGAAGACUUGUGUCGUUUAAGGGUUGUGCGAGGCUUGUACAAACGACGUGUCGAAUCUCUGUCCCUGGGACCUCCCCAAGAAACAAUGAGAAGGCCUUGUCUAAUAUCUCCAGGGAUAAGAAGACAAUUCCAGAAGCGGAUCCUCCCAGUAUUAAAGAUGUUCACCUUUUGUAUGAAUUUUUGGACCAGAGUACCAAACUCACAGUAUUGACUGGAGCCGGAAUUAGUACAGAGUGUGGCAUCCCCGACUAUAGAAGCCCCAAUGGAGCUUAUAGUUCUGGAUUCAAACCAAUAACCCACCAGGAGUUUCUCCGUUCAAGUCGAGCUCAGAGGAGAUAUUGGGCAAGGAGCUAUGCUGGAUGGAGGCGAUUUACAGCGGCACAACCAUCUGCUGCCCAUACUGCUUUGGCAACAUUAGAUAAAGCUGGCCGAAUCCAUCUUAUGAUUACACAAAAUGUUGACAGGCUGCAUCAUCGUGCUGGUAGCAAUCCAUUAGAAUUACAUGGGACUGUAUACACUGUAAUUUGUAUAGAUUGUGGAUAUUCCUUUUGCCGGAGCUUAUUUCAGGACCAGUUGAAGGACCUUAAUCCAAAGUGGGCAGAAGCAAUUGAAAAUUUGGACCAUGGAAACCCUGGGUCAGAUAAGAGCUUUGGCAUGAAACAAAGGCCUGAUGGUGAUAUUGAGAUUGAUGAAAGAUUUUGGGAGGAAGAUUUUAUCAUUCCAACUUGUCACAAGUGCAGUGGAGUUCUCAAACCUGAUGUUGUCUUCUUUGGUGAUAAUGUUCCAAAGGACAGAGCUGAUAUGGCAAUUGAAGCGUCUAGAAAAUGUGAUGCAUUUCUUGUACUUGGGUCAUCCCUGAUGACCAUGUCUGCUUUUCGCCUUGUCAGUUUACUUCAACAGGGCAGCUCAUGAGGCUGGUGCAGCUACUGCGAUUGUGAACAUAGGUGUGACGCGUGCUGAUGCUUUUGUUCCCUUGAAAAUCAAUGCACGAUUGGGUGAGAUCCUGCCAAGAGUGCUUGACAUGGGAUCUAUAAGCAUACCUGCUGUUUAAUGAUAUUAGAUGAAAGGAUGUAUCAAGUUGUAUUUGAACCAUUCAUUGUUCACUUGCCAAAUUUCUUAUUCGUUGUGUUGUUCAGGUAAUGUCUGAAUGUUGCCAGCCUCUUCAAUUGACAUCUCUUCCCUAACUCCGCAGAUUCUGUAUAUGCCAGUUUCCAUCAUAAUCCCCCAAAAUUAAAAUGCAUUCAUUUUGGCUGAAGCAAUGUCAACUACAGAAAUCAUGAAGUGAUGCUUGCUGAGGAUGAAUACACAUGCAGAUGAUUGUUGUAGGUUAAAGAAACUAAAAUACUAUAUUUAUAAAUAAUUUUGAGAUAUUUUGGCUAGUGCCAAUUUAAAUUUCAUUGAUUAAAUGCUUCAAGGUAGCUUAAAGAAAGGAAUUACUAUCGUUCUCAUUAGUGAUCUAAUGAAAAAUUGCUCCAAAUUCAGUAAAUUCUUGUUUAAUGUAAUGAUAUUGACGAGGAAUCAAUAAAACGCAAUUGUUAUUCGUGUUUUC